CAGCUCUCUCCGUGUGUGAAUGGGUAUCUGUACGCGCUUCGCUGUGUUCAACGGGUGCCGCUGAGCCUCGGCAUCAGGCUGCACUCAAGCCAGGGAUGACUCAGGGUGAGAGCGGCUAAAUGACUCCAGACCUGCCGACAAACUGCGGCAUGAAUGUGCGCGGGUCGAGUCACCGGGAGGAUUUAAAUGGGACUCUGUGCGCUUGCCUGCGUGGACUAUACGAAGGCUGGGACGGUGCUGCAGGCUGGCCCACUCCCAGGAUAUAAGAGCAGUGAGCUCUGCCAAGGCGGUGAGGGGUCACACUGUGGAGAAUGUGCGCAUGUGUGCGUGUCAGAGGAUGGCUAUGUCACACAUGAGCUCCCUCGCUUGGCGGGUGGCUGUCUGAACAGUGACACCAACAGCGGAUGCCCACAUCUUGACGCUACAGUGCAGAUAAAGCUCUUGUGAAACAUUCCACUCCCCACUCCCACUGCUCCUACCAGCGUUUCCUGCUCUCACUUCCGUGUCCUUCCCUCCCAUUCCUCGCCUGCCUUCCUUUUUCACCCGUCCACAUCCCUCC
ensembl:lncRNA